CACAGUUCCUGAAUCCUUUCACUAGGUGGGGCCAGCCUCCUGUUGUGUAGACUCAUCACUAUACCAGUCCUCUGUUCCUGGUCUCUGGAGCUUCUAUUUGGGAAAGUGACCCAUUAGCUUCUGAGGACCAGGGUGAGAGAGGACAAGCUUGGAUGCCCUUCACAGUGGAGAGAUGUGUGCAGACCAGGCAGACAUCAGUUCCUCUAUCAGCGCACAGAUACCUGCAAUGCCUGCAUGUGGGGAGAUAAAACCCAGACAAAGAGGUAGCCGUGAGCAGAUGCGCUCCCCUGAACAAGAGAUAAGUGGGCUGAGAGGUGAAGGAAGAGGACGAGGGUGGCCACGAACGCUAAAUGAGACACGACUAGUCAACUGUGGAGCCCAGGCCCAUCUCCCAGAGGAGCUCAAAAAAUAUUAGCAGCCCUUACCAUUGGAGCCUCUGCCUCCUAGACCUUCCCCAAUAUCUAUGGAGGGUGGGAGCAGAGUCGCUUUUCCUCACUGAACCUCAGUUUACUCCUCAGAAAGACAGCAGUGAUGAUGCCCUCUCAAGAUACCCUCUAACUCCA